AGAUGGGUUUUUUUUAAAACCACACAAGAUUUAAAAACAAAAAAAA
rfam:Apaloderma vittatum contig28935, whole genome shotgun sequence.